UUACUUUUCCAGCUCUCUUUGGUACCACUAGAAGUUGCUUUAUUCCGUAGACGCCUAUAAAUGGAUUAAGAUCAUGUAACAUUGUAAAACCCGUUCAGAUGUUGCAGCAACAACAGGAAACAAAGGCGUAAAACGCAGAAAGAAAAAUAAUUUGUGACGCAGAAAAAAAAGUUACAGAAGACGAAGAACUAAAACAGCAACACGUUUCACCAGGCCCUUACCACUAAGGCACUCGAUACAAUGGAACUCAAACGCCUGCGGGGUUCAGAGUUCAGUCUGAUUUCUUCCCACGGAAGAUGCGAGAAAGCUCAUUUCUCCCUGGCUGCACUAGACCUCUGGGAGACGGGCCCUCCUCGGCAUGGGAGGAGACAAGACCGUCCUCAGAGUGACUUCUGGAGGAAAUCAAAUGCUACUGUCAACUGUGUGGGGUGUUAAAUCCAUGUGAGUAAUCAAAUGUAUGUGUCUUUCAGUAUUUUUGUCCAAAAAGUAUCA